rnacentral:rRNA from 1 species
GAGGGGGAUAACACUUGGAAACAGGUGCUAAUACCGCAUAACCAUAGUUACCGCAUGGUAACUAUGUAAAAGGUGGCUAUGCUACCGCUUUUGGAUGGGCCCGCGGCGCAUUAGCUAGUUGGUGAGGUAAAGGCUUACCAAGGCAAUGAUGCGUAGCCGAACUGAGAGGUUGAUCGGCCACAUUGGGACUGAGACACGGCCCAAACUCCUACGGGAGGCAGCAGUAGGGAAUCUUCCACAAUGGGCGAAAGCCUGAUGGAGCAACGCCGCGUGGGUGAAGAAGGUCUUCGGAUCGUAAAACCCUGUUGUUAGAGAAGAAAGUGCGUGAGAGUAACUGUUCACGUUUCGACGGUAUCUAACCAGAAAGCCACGGCUAACUACGUG